rnacentral:rRNA from 1 species
CCCUUAGAUGUUCUGGGCCGCACGCGCGCUACACUGAUGCAUGCAACGAGUUCUAUCCUUGGCCGGAAGGCCUGGGUAAUCUGUGAACGUGCAUCGUGAUAGGGAUAGAUUAUUGCAAUUAUUAAUCUUGAACGAGGAAUUCCUAGUAAACGCAAGUCAUCAGCUUGCAUUGAUUACGUCCCUGCCCUUUGUACACACCGCCCGUCGCACCUACCGUUCGAAGGUAAUGAUGAGCCCUCAGGAUUGUGGCCUCGUCGCGUCAGCGUCUUGGCUGCGAGAAUCUGUGCAAAUCCCUACCUUUAGAGGAAGGUGAAGUCGUAACA